CCUACGGGGGGCAGCAGUGGGGAAUAUUGCACAAUGGGGGAAACCCUGAUGCAGCAACGCCGCGUGAGCGAUGAAGGCCUUCGGGUCGUAAAGCUCUGUCCUAAGGGAAGAAUACUGACGGUACCUUAGGAGGAAGCCCCGCCAACCACCUGCCCGGAAACGCGGUAAUAAGUAGGGGGCUAGUGUUAUCCGGAACUACCGGGCGUAAAGGGUGCGGAGGCCGCCCUUCAAGUCAGAGGUGAAAGGCUACGGAUCAACCGUAGUAAGCCAUUGAAACUGUAGGGCUUGAGUGCAGGAGAGGAGAGUGGAAUUCCCAGUGUAGCGGUGAAAUGCGUAGAUAUUGGGAGGAACACCAGUUGCGAAGGCGGCUCUCUGGACUGUAACUGACGCUGAGGCACGAAAGCGUGGGGAGCGAACAGGAUUAGAUACCCUUGUAGUC
rnacentral:rRNA from 1 species